UUCAAUCAAAUCUAUAUAAACCCUUGCAAAGCUCAGUGUCUUUGUGAAGUCUUGCCACAUCUCCUAUCUGUCCAUGCAGAAAAAGCCGGUAGUGACGGGAGUUCGGACCCCCACUGACACAUGGAGUGGACUGAGUUUCUCCAAGUGGAUGCCUGCUGAGACUGUUAAGGAGCGACGCAGUGUGAACCUCUGCUGCUACAUAUCCUACCUCAAUAAUUACCAGUUAGAGGAGAGGAGGAAGUGGGCAUAUCUACAUUCAGGGCCAGGAGGAAGAUUCUGACUGCAAUUACUGGACUGCUGAUGGCUGGAGAUUUUGGUGUCUCAACCCAGCAGAGACAUGGAGUGUUAAAAUCCCCAGAAACACUGCUGUGCACAAUACACUCAGCAGUGCACAGGGGCAGCUGGUAUAAAUGGGCUAGCAGGGCUAAGCUGCACUGUUGUUUCCAAGAAUAAAAAUAAACCAAUGUAAGUUUUUUGGUA